rnacentral:rRNA from 1 species
CUACGGGCCGCAGCAGUGGGGAAUAUUGCACAAUGGGCGCAAGCCUGAUGCAGCCAUGCCGCGUGUAUGAAGAAGGCCUUCGGGUUGUAAAGUACUUUCAGCGGGGAGGAAGGGAGUAAAGUUAAUACCUUUGCUCAUUGACGUUACCCGCAGAAGAAGCACCGGCUAACUCCGUGCCAGCAGCCGCGGUAAUACGGAGGGUGCAAGCGGUAAUCGGAAUUACUGGGCGUAAAGCGCACGCAGGCGGUUUGUUAAGUCAGAUGUGAAAUCCCCGGGCUCAACCUGGGAACUGCAUCUGAUACUGGCAAGCUUGAGUCUCGUAGAGGGGGGUAGAAUUCCAGGUGUAGCGGUGAAAUGCGUAGAGAUCUGGAGGAAUACCGGUGGCGAAGGCGGCCCCCUGGACGAAGACUGACGCUCAGGUGCGAAAGCGUGAGGAGCAAACAGGAUUAGAUACCCUUGUAGUC